rnacentral:tRNA from 1 species
AGUUAAUGAACUUGUUAUAAGUAUAUAUUUUGAAAAUAUAAAAAAGAAGCUUAAUCUUCUAUUAACUU